rnacentral:lncRNA from 1 species
UCUUCUUUUUUUCUUCUUCUUUGUGUAAGAUCCACGUGUCGUCCUUCCUUCUCGAUUUUUCCUCCCUUUCGCUAACCAUCUCUAUCCCUCACUUAUGCACGCUGGAAACGACGUGACUUUUCGUCAACGACACACCCGAAGUUCUCCUCUCUCUCCUUCAGCCGACGCCACCACCUAACACCCCUUGCACCGCUGAACUCACUGGUAAAUCUCAGCCACCACAUGCGGUAGCUCGCUGAAGAUCAAGCCCAUUAUGGUCUGUCUCCAUUCUUAGCUCAGAUUCAACUUCUAGAGUUUUCACUUUGACUCCCAUUUUCUUUUCAUUUCUCUUCAAAUGCUUACAUUUUACCCACAAUAUGAAGGUAUUCAAUCAAAGUUUCAUUAUUUCUAUUGUUUGUAUUUGUACAUUAUAUUAACUUCAAAUGCUUUCAUUUUACCCACAAUGUGAUAUAUUGAUGGUUCUUUUUAUAAAAAACAUCCCUCAUAGUUUUGCUUUUAUAGGAGAUACGUGUUUGUGUUGUCUACCAUCCUAUUCAAUAUUGUUGUUUACGAUCAUUUUUCUAAUGUGAAUGUACAUUUUUUCUUUAUGGUUGGCUAUGUGAUGAAGCAUUUUGGUAGCUUACAAUGUGUUUGAUAAAAUGCCUCAAUGAAGCAUUUGGUUGAUUUUUAAUUGAUUUUUGUUCAUUCGAAUUAGGAAAUCAAGGCCAAGGGAGAUUUCAUGGCUAUGGGCUGAAGCUUUGAGAAAAAGAGAAUGAAAAAUGAAAUGUGAGAUUUUAAACUUUGAUGAUGUGUAGGAUCUUUUUGUUUGUCUAUGCAUUUUCCUAGUGAAUAUGAGUACUUGAACUCCCAUAUUGAUCUUUUGUUUAUGGUUACUAUUGAGUUGUAUCGUAAUUGCAUGAUAGUUAUAGCAUAAACAAACUAUAUAUAUAAACUUGAACACAAGUACUUGUUAUCUAACUCAUUAAUAAAUUGUUGUAAUUUGGUUACUCUUGAUUUACUAAUGAUUGAAGAUUAAAAAAGUUAUGAACAUUUUCACUAUGAGCAAGAAAUAAACUAUUUAUGAUGCUAAUGAACUUAUCUUGAUUUAUAGGAAGCUCUGAUAAACCAUCAAUUUAAACAAUUGUUUUGGCCUUGUUAUAGUUGUGAAUUCUAUUUCUUUUUGUUGGUGUUGGAAGUCAGUAUGCAAUAAUGGUCCUACACCUCUUAGGCAGAGAGAAGUAUGAUAUUUGUGCGAGGUAAGACAUUUGCUAGUAAACCUAAAUGUAUCAUUGAAUUUCAUUUUCCAUUGUUAUUAUCUUUGAAAAAGAAGCCUAACCUUCACUCUCUUUUUCUUUUUGUCUCUAUUAUGAUCUUGCAAUCUUGGAAGGAUUAUGGUUUCUUUUGUAAUAUAAAAUUCUUUUAUUUUAUUUGGAUUGAAAUUAUGUCUUGCUUUGAUUGAAGGAUAGAGGGAAGUGAUUAUUGAUAAUUAUAGGUAUGUUCUCUCUCCCUUUCUUACAAUAAGGAUAGUAGCAACAAAAUUACUACAUGUUCUUCUAUAUUGAAAGGAAAGACAAAAAAAAAUGGUGGUGAAUUAAAAUGGCUCGCAAAAAUCAUAUCAUUAAAGUGGGAGUCUGAGACAUACAGUGAUGGUAUGGUUAUGAUUUAUGCAUUCAUAAAGUAUAGUCAUUUUGCUACUAUGGAGGCUAUAUUUUUUAUUUUUUUACUUUCUGGUAUAUGCUUCAUAUUGUGUAUAAUAUUAAGUCAUGAUUUAUAAUGCACUUAGUAUAGACAUCCUUUAUAAAGCUACGUGAACUUUUCAUAUGACAUACCCUUUUUAACAAAACUCCCCAAACCUUGUUUGUAAUAUUUGCAUUUUUGGAUAGAUGUAUUGUAGGUUCAUUGUUGAUAUUGGGUAUUCUUGGACAAAGAUUUAUUUUGUAUGGUAGAAUUUUAUUUGUCACUUACAAUGCUAGAUCUUUCCAAGAGGAGUAAAUUUAAUUUGAAAAUUUUGAAAUACACCACUGCUUGAAAUGGAUGCUAGUCCUCUGUAAUGAAAUUUUGUUUAUGAAAUUUUUUGGAUUAAUUAGGAAGUGGAAGUGAAUCGUUUCUUGCAGACAAAAAAAAGAUAUAUUCAAUGGUAAACUGGUUUUUAGGUAUCUCCCAUUUGGAGUUACUUUAAACUUGCAAGACAGAGGGAGGUGUUUAUGUACUUGCUUAUAACUGCAGUUUCAGUUCUGUGUCUUUGUCUUUUUUCUGUUUAUUAAUCCCCUUUUCACCUUUGUGAUUCAAUGGUUGUGGAGAAGAAUUUUUUUUUGCAAUAUUUGAUUUAUUAUUUAUUUUUUCCAUUUGUAUCAGUGUUUAGUGCUUAUGUGUAUUCAAAUUAAAUCAGGGAGGAGUUUUUAAUUUAUUAGGUCGUGUUUGUUAUCUAUUUGGUUUUUGGCUUUAAGUUUUCGAAACUUAAGCCUAUGCACUUUUUUUCUACCUCAACUUUUUAUCAAUGUUUUUAAAAUUAGGCCAAAUUAAUGUUUUUGAAACUGUCAUUAUUAUAUGUGCUAUAAUUCUUAAAGAAUUUACUCGUAUAGAGAGAGAAGCAUUCCAUGCUAGAAAACAAUGACUCUAUUGGAAAGACUCCAGUGAAGGCCAUUAUAUAAUUCCAGACUUGGAGAGUUGGUAAGUUAUUCUGUGAUGUUAAAUUUCUUGUAGACAUUUAUGUGAUAUACUUUUUCAGGAAGAAUACUACAUUUGGUACCUAAGGCCUUAGUUAUAUCUUCACUUACAGGCUUUUGUUUAUAGGUAUUACAUAUUUCAUUAUUAAAAAUUGCCUUAACUUUAUUUCCUUUGUAUAUGCUGCCCAGGUUGGUAGAAAUUACUUUAGCCAAUUUCACAAUUUGAGUAUUACAGUUUGGUUUGGUUCUUUAUUGAUCGUGGACUUUCCCUAUUUGAUGCAAUCCUUAUUGUUUUCAUGUUUCAGAUAGCAUGGAUUUUUCCUGAGAUCCUAUAAGUUUUUCUUCAAAUCAUCACUUGCUCUGCUAGAUGAUGAGCCGUAGUGGGUUAGCAAGAUUACCAUGAUGUUGCCUUUGCUAUUUUGGGGAUUUAGUUUCACAUGUGAAGCCUUAUUUUUUUAGGCUAAGUUAUGAAUUAGUGGGAUAGUCAUAUAAAUUCCACCAUGAAAUUGUUACUUUUUAUAAAUGAUUUGAACCAUUGAAUGGCUAUACAUAGGUGUACUUUUCUCAUGGGAUUUAAGUUGAAAUCAUACUUUCAAUCAAGUGUUCUUGAUGUUUUUGUUGUCUCGGGUGUAUUUGAUGUCUUAGCAUAUACUAGUAUAUAAAUUGUUUCUUUUAAAUCAUACUAGUAAAUAAACUCAAGUUCAUGGACAUUGGGUUUCAUUUUGUUAAGAAAAGUAGUGUUUCCAAAUCUAUCUUUUGAGUAUUGCAAUAGCCUCAUCUCAACAAUCUAUGCUUGUUUGGCAAUCACAUUGGUUUUCAUCUUUAUUUAAUAAUAAUUUGUAUGUGUAUAAAACUUUGAAAUCUAGAUAAUGUUUUGAAGAUGGUUUUGUUGGUAGAGGAUUGAUUCUAUUGGGGGGUGUUUGAUAAUUUUUGUGCUAUAUUCAUGUUGUAAUCUCUUUAAGCGAGUUAUACUCUCUUGUCCUGUGAUGUAUACUUAUAUUCAUGUUGUCUUUGUAGGUUCUAAUGGAAUCGACAAAGUUCAUAAAAUUUCCGUCAAAGAAGCUAAUUAGGGUCAUCAAAAUACACUGGUUGUUUUUAGAAAUGAAGGAUUUGACCAUGGUUCAAGCAACAAAGAAUAUUUUCAAAGGUGAAGGAUUACCGGUUGGUUGUUUAUGCUUGUACAGAAAAUCAUGUUAUAUGUAUUAUGAUGGUAUUUUAAUGUAAUUCAAGUUGGACUUAAUUUCUCAAAAAUUAAUUCUCUGCCUAUUCUCAGUUGGAGAAUGACUAUUUAUUGAUGAAUUGUAUGUAGUAGUUACAAUCAGUUUUGG